GCCGCACCACCAGCCGGACCCGGAACUUGCGCGCCGCCGGCGGGCGCGGCCACCGCAUCAUCCUCGCAACCAUCCAACCCGAACCGAACUACCCACCAAAGUUUCGAGUUUUGACCCCCCGACCCCUCAAAUCAAUCCCCAACGCAGAAAAAACCAAACCCAACCAAAAUGUCGAGCAAAAAUCCACCUUUUCCCUCUCCAAACCCCCUCCCCCUCGCAGAGCACGGCGAUUCCGGACCCAAAUUGGACCUCGCAAACCCCUUUCCUCCAAGAACAAGCCUCAAAAACCCCCUCUCUCAGAACGAACACGCGGUCGCAGAGACCCCGAAUCGCUCAAGCAAAGAAACAACAGAAAAAAAGCCUCCAAUUCGUGCGUAGCGCUACGCAGAAAGAUGAGAUUUUGAGGGUGGGCAGAGCUUGGAUUUUGACUCGGCGAGAGGGUUCGAGGGUUGGUUGGUGGUGGAGGUGGUGGUGGUACAC
rnacentral:lncRNA from 1 species